AGUUAGAAUCGAACAACUCUCUAAAAUCUACACGUUACACGCCUCUUCUUCGAAGCUGAAUUCCCUCUUGACACUUUCCAUUCCAGGUCGAUGAAUUGUAAAAUCUACACGUUACACGCCUCUUCUUCGAAGCUGAAUUCCCUCUUGACACUUUCCAUUCCAGGUCGAUGAAUUGUAAAAUCUACACGUUACACGCCUCUUCUUCGAAGCUGAAUUCCCUCUUGACACUUUCCAUUCCAAGUCGAUGAAUUGUAUUGUCUCAUGAUUUGACUUUCUAGCUUCUCGACAUUAAUUUCUCGUCAAUUGUUUUGGUUUCUCGUAAUCAAA
rnacentral:lncRNA from 1 species